AUCUGAGGGUCUUGAAGACACCAGCUAGUUCCUUUGAACUUGCAUCAUGACAGGGUCCUACUUCAUGUUUCUCACUGGGACAAUACAUGUGGAUUCCAGGUUUCUCCUUCCUUCAUGGCGUUCUGUCUCUUUUGCUUCACUGGGUAUGUGGUUGCUCAGCAUGUGAUGAAACUGAGUCUUCUGCAAGAACAACUAAAGAACCAGUGUUACUCAUCAAACCAAUGACCAAGGAAUGGCUGGAGAGGGACCUGAGAGCCAGUCGUGGAGGCUAACGCAGUCUAUAAUCCUCUGUCUGAUAACAACCAGAUUAUAGCUCCACAAUUCCAAUAAAGAAACACAAGCGGUAUGAAAGUAUAGUUUUGCAGUGGAGAUGUUGGCUGUUCCUGCCUGAAAGGGGAAAGGAGAAGAAAGCUGCCUGACAUAGAUGGAAAGGGAAAAAGAAGAUCUGCUUAGAAAAGAGAAGUCUGGGAGAGCUGGGGAGCAGGGAACCCAAGCUGGCAGCUUUGCCUCCUGUGCUACGUCUGGGAGCAUGACUGCUUCGGAGACUUAUAUAUCCUAGAUUCUCUAUUCAGCUACCAUCAUGUUGCCGUACGUGGCUACAAGAAAAACCCUGCUGGACUGCUGGAUUUUGCUGCAGAGCAUUUGCAGGAAUAAGCACGUUUCAUCCCUUCUCAG